UACGUAGGGGGCAAACGUUGUCCGGAUUUAUUGGGCGUAAAGAGCUCGUAGGCGGCUUGUCGCGUCGACCGUGAAAACUCGCAGCUCAACUGCGAGCCUGCGGUCGAUACGGGCAGGCUAGAGGUAGGUAGGGGAGAAUGGAAUUCCCGGUGUAGCGGUGAAAUGCGCAGAUAUCGGGAGGAAUACCGGUGGCGAAGGCGGUUCUCUGGGCCUUACCUGACGCUGAGGAGCGAAAGCGUGGGGAGCGAACAGG
rnacentral:rRNA from 1 species